rnacentral:rRNA from 1 species
AUUCCAGCUCCAAUAGCGUAUAUUAAAGUUGUUGCAGUUAAAAAGCUCGUAGUCGAAUUUCAGGGCGGCGGGCACGGUCUGCCGAUGGGUAUGCACUGUGUCGGCCGCCUUUCCUGCUGGGGUCCGCGUCUGCACUUAACUGUGCGGGCGCGGGGAACAGCGCGUUUACUUUGAGAAAAUCAGAGUGUUUAAAGCAGGCCAAGAUUGCUCUUGCAUGGAUUAGCAUGGGAUAAUGAAAUAGGACUUUGGUGCUAUUUUGUUGGUUUCGAGUACCGAAGUAAUGAUUAAUAGGGAUAGUCAGGGGCACUUGUAUUCCGUUGAGAGAGGUGAAAUUCUUAGACCAAUGGAAGACAAACUACUGCGAAAGCAUUUGCCAGGGAUGUUUUCAUCG